GACGAACGCUGGCGGCGUGCUUAACACAUGCAAGUCGAACGGUGAAUCGCCUUCCUUUUUGGUCGGUGUGGAUGAGUUGCGAACGGGUGAGUAACACUUGUGUAACCUGCCCCCUUCUUCUGCAUAACCGCAUUAAAGUGUGGCUAAUACGGGAUAUUCUGGGUCUGUCUCAUGAUGGGUCUGUGUCAGUUAUUGUUUCUGUGGUGGAUGUGCUCGCGGCCUAUCUGCUUGUUGGUGGAGUGAUAGCCUACCAAGGCGUUGAGGAGUAGCCGGCCUGGGAGGGUGGACGGUAAGAGAGGGGCAGAGAGACGGAGGAGACUCCUACGGGAGGCAGAAGUGAAGAAUAGUGGACAAUGGGGGGAAGCAUGAUGGAGAGACGACGCGUGAGGGAAGGAGGCAUUCGGGUAGUGAAACGCUAUGGGGAGUGAAGAAGGCAGGAAUAGUAUGAGGGUGGGUUGACGGUAGCGGGAGAAGAAGCGACGGCUAACUACGUG
rnacentral:rRNA from 1 species